UGCAGGUCCUUUGAGGGAUUCUGGAAAAAAGUCCUUCCAUCAGCAGGAACUUGAAAUUUUCCAUUGCGAUGAGCGUUUCUGCUCUGGAAAGCAGGCAUAAGGACUCCUAAGGCUGUCCCUUUAAUUCUCGGUUCUGAGCAGCUGACUAGACACAAAUUGUUAAAAUACGAAGACAUAUAAUCUCGGAAUCAAGGAAAAGAGGGCAACUGAAAACCAAGUAUUCAUGUUGCUUCCCAGGAAGAUGACGGGCUGGACAAAGGAGCUGAGAAGUCAGAUGAGGAAAUUGAAGCAGGAAGAGAUGAAGUAAUGUUCAGGUGAAGUAGCUGGAGAGGGUACAGUAUUAGAACAUGCCGUAGAGGGCUGACUCCACACCCAUGCUCCACUCUGCUACACUGGGGAGAAGAAAACAUUCAGGGAGGACAAAGUAUUGGCAUCUCGAGAUACCAUGCACUGCAUAAUGAGUGGCUAAACGUGAAAAAAAUGUAUAGAAUCCUCUGUGGGUCCAGGCAGCUCCCCAGGGCCGCUGUCCUCCGUGCAAUGAUCCAGCAAUUCAUACAGCUUUCGCCUGCUGCUCUACCAGCUCCACACCAGACCCGGUUCUUUGACAAAGAGAAUGAGAAGCUUAGGUGCUGUUAGAGGCUUUUCGUGGUUUGGCCUGAGAGUGACACACACUGCUUCGGCUCCCGUUUCCUGGGCCGGAAGUUGUUAUGUGGUUCUGCCUAACUUCAAGCGUCUGGGAAGCAGAGUCUCCCAUCUGCCCAGAAAGAAGAAGAGAGCUGGAUACUGCUGAACACUGGUAAUGGCGUGUUGUCCCAUCAUCCUUCCCAGACGCCGGCAUAGUCCAGAUGGUCCGUGGUCCAAGUGAACAGAAAAAAACCCUAAGCUUGCUGCCACCUUUACAAACUAACAAAGCAAAACACCUCCCAUUGUGAUUUCUUGUUUCUAUGGAGUGUUGAAGUUUCCCUAAAUAAAUUGUCCCCUUCAUAGAC